CUUACACCAUGCAAGCAAUAGGAAACUAGAGAAAAAAAACAGCUUCACGAUCUGCUCCUCAGGUAGCGGUGUUGACUUUAGUCUGAUGUGAGUUUACUCUGGAAUCAUUGCUAUGGAGCACAGUUGCAAAAGUAGGAAUUUCACUUUGCCAGAUGCCCCAUGAGAAGGAACGGUGCAGCAGUUUGGAUGCACCUCCAGGUGCUCCGGUUUCCUGCCACAUUUCAAACAUGAACAGUACUGUAUUUUCCCGUGCGGAGCGGACACCGAGUUUGUAAAUCUGACUGGAGUAAGAGUUGUUGGGAAUGGCAAGGGUGAGGCACCGCAGGAGGGGUGUGGGACAAGUGACAGAGGAGGAGUGCUUGGUUUGGGGGGGGGGGGGGCUGGUGCAGUCACACCCAGCCCUGAGACACCAGGCAAGGUCAUUGAUUCCAAACAAUCAGUUUAUUGAUCAUCACAGAAUGUCUCUCUGGUGCUUCCUGCUCCCUCCCCGCUCCAUUCCCCUUUUCCUAACCAUGAUUCCCCUCUCCCUGCCUCCUUCCCACCCUCAGUCCACAUACGUCAGGAAAUUUGGGGGGUUUUUGCGGCAGCUGUGUAGUGCAACACAUAAAAUUACUACAUUACUGUGCAAAAGUCUUAGGCACCCUAGCUAUGUGUAUGUGCCCGCACAUUAUUGUACGGAUUAGGGUACGCAAGUUGUGGCCAUGCUAUGUUGCUACUGGAAGCAUGACAACAUUUUUGGACUGUAUUGGUUGUUGACACAGAUUACUUAUUUCAUCCUAUGUAUCAAUGUUUCAAUGUACAUGUGACAAAUGAAGUUCAUCUUUAAAAUCUUUUACAUGAGAGGAAGUCCACAGAUGCUGGAGAUCCAAAGCAACACACACAAAAUGCUAGAGGAACUCAGCAGGUCAGGCAGCAUCUAUGGAGGGGAAUAAACAGCUGACGUUUUGGGCCGAGACCUUUCUUCACGAUUGAGAAGGAAGGGGGCGGACGCCAGAAUAAAAAGGUGGGGGUGAGGGGAAGGAGGCUGGCUGUAAGGUGACAGGUGAGGCCAGGUGAGUGGGAAAGGUAAAGGGCUGGAGACAAAGGAAUCUGAUAGGAGAGGGGAGUGGGCUGUGGGAGAAAGGGGAGGAGGAGAUAGGCAGAUGACGUGGUAAAAGGUCAGAAUGGGAGUAAAUGAAGGGGGUUGGGGGGGGGGGGGGAAUUUGUCUACCGGAAGGAAAAAUAAGUAUUCAUGCCAUCAGGUUGGAGGCUCCCCAGACGGAAUACGAGGUGUUGAUCUUCCACCCUGAGGGUGGCCUUUUCACACAAGAGAAGCCAUGGACUGACACGGCAGAAUAUGAAUGGGAAUGGGAAUUAAAAUGUUUGGCCACUGGGAAGUCCUGCUUGUGGCAGAUGGUGUGGAGGUGCUCAAAUUCUGGAGGUGGUUUGACAUCUCUGCCCAAGAUAGCUUUUGUGGAGCUUUUUUUUAAAAAAAAUAGAGAGGGGAUAGGUAGUAGGGCUCAGGAAGGGGAAUUGAGCUCGAGUCUGAGACAUCCGUAAGUUUUAGUAGAGGAAUGAUGAAAAUGGGGAUAUACAAGAUACCAGAACAGGUCAGAAUCGGCAUCAGGUUUAAUAUUAUUAGCAUAUCGUGAAAUUUGUUAUGUGGCAGCAAUACAUAAUAAUAGAGAAUAAAGCUGUGAAUGAUAGCAAUUACAUAUACGUAUAUAUUAAUAAAUUAAAUUAAGUAAGUAGUGCAAAAAUAGAAGUAAUAAAGUAGUGGGGUAGUGUUCAUGGGUUUAACGUCCAUUCGGAAAUCAGGUGGCAGAGCUGAAGAAACAGUUUCUGGAUAAGUGUGUGUGUGUUUUCAGGCUUCUGUACCUCCUCCCUGACGGUAACAAUAAGAACAAGACACAACCUGGGUGGUGGGAGUCUUUAAUGAUGGAUGGCAGCUUUUUGAGGCAUCACUCCUUGAAGAUGUCCUGGAUACUACGGAGGUUACGUUUUGAAGGACUAGAGAGGGUCACCCAUGACAAAGAGGUCAAAGGGUAGAGGCCAGAAUGAAAGUGGUCCACCGGUCCUCCAGGUUCGGGGCUUCAGUUCAGGGCUAACAACCCUGACUGGGAAAACAAAAUCGUUACGGCAACAGCAAUGAAGAAUCCUUCUACAUCUGAGUGUGACAGUAUUCUUGAGUCUCCACCCAGGAUUUGUGUGACUGACAGUAAUGAAAACCGAGAGGAAGCUUCCAACAUGAUGAAGGAAGCCCUGAACACCACCAGAGAUGAAGGACCUUCACUGCUGCCCUAAAUGCCAGUCGCAAUACAAGUACACCCGGAGGAAACUGAUGUACGUGUGGGAUGGAAUGUACAAACUUGCUUACAGAGGAUGCCAGGAUUGAUACCCGAGCUCUGAUGCCCCGAGGUAUAAUAGUGUUGUGUUAACUUCUAGGUUACCCUGGUGCUACUUUUCAAAAACAAAUCCAUGCCAUGUAGUUCUAAUCCAUACUUGACCAAAGAACUGCUGCUACUUCUUCUUCUUGGACCCUUAGUUCCCAGUGCAGAAAAGGCUAUCGAUUACCUCCUGUCUCCAUCGUCCUCUGUUCUGAGCCAGUUUCUUGAGGGUAGACCAGGAAAGGUCCCAUCGACUAAUUUCUGCCUCAAUGUCUCUCCUCCAUGUGUUCUUUGGACAUCCCUGUUUUCCUCUUUCCUUUAGGGAUCUAUUUUAUUGGCUGCCUGGUGAUGUUGUUGGUUGGCUUCCUCAAGGUGUGGCCAUCUCACUGCCCAUUAUGCCACUGGCACUUUGAGCAGCAAUGAAGAUCCUCCAUCUCUGAUGGUGUCCAGGGUCCAGGGCUUCCUUCAUCAUGUCAGUAGCUUCCUCUCCGUUUUCACUGUCAGUCAUGCAAGUCCCAGGUGGAGACUCAGGAAUACCGAAACACUCAGAUGUAGAAGGAUUCUUCAUUGCUGUUUCCGGAACAAUUUUAUUUAUAAGUCAGGGUUGUUAGCCCUGAGUUGAAGCUCCAAACCUGGAGGACUGGUGGACCACUCUUAGUCUGGCCUCUGUCCUUUGACCUGUUUGGCAUGGGUGACCCAACCAAGAGCCAAAGCAUAAAGCCCUGACUCCAGCUAACAUGGAUCUUCGCAUCAUUGAGGCACGCAAGCCUCCUAACCAUAUGACAAGGUUGUGGUCCUCUUGGAGGUCAAGGGGUGGCCAAUCCAUCUCUAUUUCCGUUUGCGUAUUUGUAUCUCUCUGGAUUUCCGGUUGAUAUUUUCCUAAGGCGUCUGGUUGGUUACUUCUGAUUAUUGCUUCUCAAACAUUUCCCACCAGCAACGUUAAUCUGUAAUUGCUGGAAGGAUCACGACAACCUGUUUGUGAACAACUGUGUAAAAAUAUGCAGUUUCUUAUUGUGAUAUUGCUAUUCCAAUCUCCCAAUACCACAAAUCUGGAGUCUCUGCACAUCUCUGUAAUUUAUUGCAACACACGCAAAAUGCUGGAGGAACUCAGUAGGUCAGGUAGCAUCUAUGGAGAGGAAUACACGGUUGGCAUUUUGGGCUAAGUCCCUUCUUCAGGACUGAGAAGGAAAAGGUAAGAUGCCAGAAUAAAAAGGCGGGGAGUAGGGGAAAGAGGCCAGCAGGAAGGUGAUGGGUGAAGCCAGGUGGGUAGGAAAAGUAAGUGCUGGAGAGGAAGUAAUCUGAUAGGAGAGGAGAGUGGACCAUAGGAGAAAGGGAAGAAAGGAACCCGAGGGAAAGUGAAAGGCAGAUGAGAAAAAGUAAGGGGGGGGGGGGGGAAUUAGUUUACUGGAAGAAGAAAUCGAGAUUUAUCCCAUCAGGUUGGAGGGUAUCCAGACAG